rnacentral:snoRNA from 1 species
AAGCUGUGAUGAACUUCGCGCUUGAGUGGUGAUUGGGUCGCCACAAUUAUCUGAAUCUAGUCGGACGAUUAAUUGCGCAUCUGAGCUU